CAGAGCGUGAGACUCGGCCCGGGCGUGUCCCGCGUGUCGAGUCGACCCUCCACCCGUGUUGACUUUAUCUGUUGCUUUGGCGGGCCAGGUGCCUGGCGCCGACCGGCUGUGUGCUGGCUCGCGUCCGCCAAAGACCCAACUUAACUCGUGUUGUCGUGUAGUCUGAGGAAGAAAUAUUGAAUUGUUA
rnacentral:misc_RNA from 1 species